AUUAAGCUGAGCCCACAAUUGCAGACACAGCUCCUUCUUUUGAGAGUCGCAAUCAUGCUGCAAGCUCCCCUAUCUCCAAGUCCUACAAGCGGCUGAUCAUUUCCCUGAAGACUUCAUUUGCAAGAUUCAGCCAUGUAAAAACACUCCAUAUCAUUUGGGAGGGAAGAGACUUGCUCAGUUGGAUUAAGUGUCCUAUCUCCUUUCAUUUGCUACAUGGAAAUCAAUUCCUGAAAGGAUUGUAUUUAAGGAAAGGCUACCAGCGUUAGCUAAGAACAAGGUGAUAAAGGGUGAGGAGGACUGGCCACACCUUCUCCACUGCAGAACUACAGACCUACAGAACCAUAGCAGAGGGGUGGGACUGAAAUACAGAUCAAGACCACACGUUUGAAGAACCUCCAGUUACAGGUAAGUAACCUCCUCUUCUUCUUCAAGUGAUGGUCCCAAUUGUAUUCCACAGAAGUUGAUUGACAAGCAGUACCUUGAGAGGCAGAGGGUGCGAGGAAGAUGGCAGAACUGUAGAACGGAGGACCGCUGCACCGAAUGAGGAAUCCGUCACAGAAUGCACCCUGAGACCCACUUACAGAUUCUCUGGGUGGAAAUGGCCUGUCCUUUAAUUCUCUCCGCUAUGGCGACAAAUAGCUUGGGAGACUUCCGGAUCGGCUUUGUCCUUUGCAGGUAAAAGACCAGGGCCCUACACACCUCAAGGGAAUGAAGCCGCCGUUCCUCGUUUGAGGUAUGUGGUUUUGGAAAGAACGUAGGCAGAUGUAUGGGUUGGUUGAAGUGGAAUUGGGAAACCACCUUUGGCAGAAACUUGGGAUACAGUUGGAGCGAGGACUUGUCCUGAUGGAACGUGGUGAAAGGGUUUUUUUGCCAUCAUGGUGGCUUCCAGCUCACCAACCAUCCUCGCGGAGGUAAUGGCAACAAGGAAAGCGACCUUCCUGGAGAGGACAGGGAGAGUGCAGGAGUCCAGCAGUUCGAAGGAAGAGCAGACUUGUAUAUGGUCUGUCCACCAACAAAGACAACAGAUGACCUCGGGUGGAAUGCUGAGUCUGAUGUCCAUUGACUGAUGCACAGGGGAAUAGAUUCUUUGCAGCCAUAGCUGUAGACAACAAAGGUGCAGGUGGGCAAAGGGCAUGAUGUAUGAGCACGCUGCCAUGUGCCCUAAGAUGGAAAGGCAGGUCCUAACCAAGAUCGAAGGGUUGGAGGUUUAUCAGGGACUGAAUAGGGUAAAAAGUUGAUUUUUCAACGCUGAUGCUCACUCCUAGGGAGGAGAUGAGUAGAAGCAGCUAGGACGUCAAUGCACGAGCUUCCUCUUUGGACCAUGCUGCCAACAGCCAGUUGUCCAGGCAUGGGAAGACAAGAAUUCCCUGACAUUGUAGGUGAGUCACUACCAAGAAAAAACUUUUGUAAAAACUCAUGGGGCAGUGGUAAGUCCAAACAGAAGAACCCUGAAUUGGAAGGGUCUAUGCACCACUUUGCACCUUAGGAACCUUCUGUGGGUCGGAUGUAUGUCAACAUGGAAGUACGUGUCUUGCAUGUUGAGAGCUGUAAACUAUCUGCCUUUUUCUAGUGAGGGAAUGAUGGCUGCAAGCAUGACCAUACGGAACUUCGGUUUGCGAACUGAGCAAGUGAGGUGACGGAGAUCCAAGUUCAGUCUUCAUCCCUCUUUCUUCUUGGGUGCCAGGAAAUAGUUUGAAUAAUCCUCCUCUGGGGUAAAAAUACUGUUGUGAAAGGGAUCUCUAUGCGGGGGUUAGGACGGGAGAUGUGGAAGAGGCGGUGUCAUAAACUCUAUGGUGUAGCCAUGUCAAAGACGUCCAAGACCCACUUGUCUGUUGUUGCAGCUUUCCAAGCUGGUAGAAAGCGUUUGAGACAACUCCCGAAAGGCGUGGAGUGUAGGAGCACUGAUUUACAGAGUGGUUGACGGCAUUCUAGGCGCACUCAGAAAUACCAUUUUUGCGAUGACUGAGUGCGUCAUGGAGAGGUCUGAGUUGCCGGAACAGGUGGACGAGCUCUGUGUAUCUUAGGGCGCUUCUGAGGAGGUUUAUAGGCCCAAUGGUGGUAGAAGUGAGGAGUUCUAUAGCGUUGGACUAGUGGUGGAUGAUAACAUUUUAUCUUUGGUGCCAGUGUGUAUAUGCUCAAGGAUCAAAAGAUGGCUCUAGAGUCCUUUAGAGAGUGUAAGGAAUCAUGAGUUUUCUGGUUGAAGAGGUGUGAUUCAUGGAAGGGAAGGUCCUUGAUUGUGUUCUGCACCUCUCCAGGGAGACCUUAGGAGUGUAACCAGGAUUCCCUCCUCAUGGCAAUUCCAAUCACGAUGCAAGGACAUGUCCGCUGAAUCAACUGCAGCCUGAAGUAUGGACCUGGCGACCAACUUGCCUUCCUGUAUAAUCUAUUGGAAUCAAGUACGAUCCUGCUGAGGGGGAUCUCAAGAGCACUGGCUGUUCUCCGUAAGAGUUCUUGAAACUGAAGGUCAUUUGCCGGGGAGGAAGAUGUCGAUGACACAGCUGUGUUUGGAGACAAUGAAGGGAAUCUCUCCAAAACCACCAGUACCAUUGGAGCCAGGCUGAUUGGUGCUUCAUCUAACUCCAUUUCCGAACAUCUAUUGGACGAAGAGUGAGACAGUGAAACAGGAGUUCUCCCGAGCCAAAUGAGACUGUUCUGAAGGCAAAUAUUGGGGCCAUGAGCUCCAAAUGGCCAACUCGUUUGAUCCUGCUGUUGUCGUCCUCCUUGGAUUUAGAGGAAAACUUACUGCCAUGCAUAUGUGCAUGCUUCUGUGGCUCACGGCUAGGCCCCGAUGCGGAGUCCAUAGCACUAGUACCAGCAGAUCCUGAUGGAGGCUCUGCAAUAGAGGGAGUGCUCAAGUUGAUGUACAGGGGUGGGGGGGUUCCCCAACCAGGAUCCAACUUUGGGCCCAUUGCUACCUCCAUGAGAUGCUUCUUGAGGCAGAGAGCUCUGCCUUCCCAUGUAUGGGCAGGGAAGGAGAGGCAGACACUGCACCUGGAGCUUUAUGUGGACUUUCCCCAAAAACAGGACAAACAGUGUUCAUCACUGAUGGAAAACAAGCGAGGGCAGGAAGCACAGACUUUGAAUCCCAGCAUCUUCGGCAUAAUCCAGUACCCAGACCUGGGGGGCAGGGGAGGAGAAAGACUGGCAGGAAAAACUGUUGAAGCGGCAUCCCAAGUCCUUAUAUAUAAAAACUGCUAGAAAUUACCAAAAUACAAUGAAAAAACACAAAAUCCUAACUACGAGCAAAAAUAAAAACAGUUGUGUAAAAUUUUUUAAAAAUGUGUCACUAAAACAAGAGGUCAAGCAGAAGCUCCUACUCGGACCAUGCGGUGGUGAAAAGGAACUGGAGCUGUGGAUGGUCCGCCCCGCCUUUUUUUGCCUCGGGCGAAACCACGAGGUAAUAUGAGUGCGCAUGCGCGGACUGCCGAGCAAUACUACGUUGAAAAGCUCCGGGGGCAUGCAGCAUGUGCAUAACCUCUGUGGAAUACAAUAGGGACCAUCACUCGAAGAAGAACCAUUGGUUUUUUAGCAAUUGAUGCUGCCACUUGGUAAAUAAUCUGGGCUCUUUGGGACUGCGGCAAUGUAAUUGAGAGCAGAAUCUGGCCCUCUAUAGAAGAGCCUCUACUUUCCACACACAAGCUCAGAGUUACUCUGCAAACACAGUUCAAGUCAGGGAUGUAUCUGUGCUCUAAACCAUGUUUUUGGUGCUGGGUUGUUUCCUUUUGUGGACAACACUGUCCUUAGGUUCCCCCAAGUCCCCUGAUGAGACUGCUGAUAACAGAAGCCCUUGCUGAUAGAACGAAUUAUAGCAACAUGUUGCCGGUGACUGCACCAUUCGUCAAUUUAAGUUUCAUUAGAGUCAAGAGGCUAAUUAAGCACUAAGGCAUGUUUUAUUAGGCCAGUAUACACACCUCAGGUAAGCUCUGAGGCACAGGGUUGAGGGCUGACCGACUCCAAUGACCUCCAGUCACUCAAAGAGCAUAUUAAAGAUCCUGCAAAGGGGAACCUGGAGCUUCUUGUCACUAAUAAAAAUAUAGCUUCAAAACCAAAAUGCUAAUGUAUGUUUAAGGAAAAGUAAUUGUACCUCGAUGAAUGAAUGUGCGCCAAGGGCCUGUCUCAAAGCCAACUGAAGUCUGGCCAUUCAUUCUGAUGAGCUCUAAGGGUCCCACGGAGGGCCAGGAUUUCGAGCUCUCAGCCUUUUUAUCACCUCUCCUUUUGGACUCAAUCUGUUCUAGCUGUUUAGAUCCCUCUGCUGGCCAGACCCCCCUUUUCAGCUCUGCAACCACUUCCGAGUUUCUUCUUUCAUUUCUGCUGUCCUAAGCAUCUCGGAUUUACCCUUAUUGCAAGCCUCCCUAAAAACUGCUCAGGCUUCAGUGUAAGCUUGUCCUUUCUACUUCCCUUCCAAGUCUCUCCUUUCCAGAAGCUCCUUAUGAAACCUUCCUCUUCCCCUAGACACAUUCAACACUUCUGCUUCAGCCAACUUUAUCUCCCAGUACCUUUCAGAAUCUCUUCAGUCAGUCUUUCCAAGGAGACAUAUGUAUUCUGCGGCACAUUGAGUAUAUAAAGCACAUGUGUGUCUGGCUGAUACCUACAUAAGCAGCGUAAUACCAAACUUUGGGGGUAAGGCACCCUUGCACUCAUUUCACUACCUGAUCACAAUGCAUAUGGCCAGCCCAGCCAUGACACAUUUUCUUAGCCCCUAGUAAACAAAACAAAACAAAAAAGUUAUUUCUGUUUAUUUCUCAAAGCUGUCUAUGCACAUUUAGCUACACUGCAAACUAACUAAGCAACAGGCUGCUACCCACCAGGCUGGAGAUCAUCUUGAAUUUUUCAUUCAUUUUCUCAGCUGUCUGAGCCAUUUAAGUUUCACUGCCACAGCAAACAUAGACUGGACUAUUU